GAUAUUGGGCGUAAGCGCGCGCAGGCGGUUUCUUAAGUCUGAUGUGAAAGCCCCCGGCUCAACCGGGGAGGGUCAUUGGAAACUGGGGAACUUGAGUGCAGAAGAGGAGAGUGGAAUUCCACGUGUAGCGGUGAAAUGCGUAGAGAUGUGGAGGAACACCAGUGGCGAAGGCGACUCUCUGGUCUGUAACUGACGCUGAGGCGCGAAAGCGUGGGGAGCGAACAGGAUUAGAUACCCUGGUAGUCCACGCCGUAAACGAUGAGUGCUAAGUGUUAGAGGGUUUCCGCCCUUUAGUGCUGCAGCAAACGCAUUAAGCACUCCGCCUGGGGAGUACGGUCGCAAGACUGAAACUCAAAGGAAUUGACGGGGGCCCGCACAAGCGGUGGAGCAUGUGGUUUAAUUCGAAGCAACGCGAAGAACCUUACCAGGUCUUGACAUCCUCUGACAACCCUAGAGAUAGGGCUUCCCCUUCGGGGGCAGAGUGACAGGUGGUGCAUGGUUGUC
rnacentral:rRNA from 1 species